rnacentral:rRNA from 1 species
GUUUGAUCCUGGCUCAGAACGAACGCUGGCGGCAGGCUUAACACAUGCAAGUCGAGCGCUCUCUUCGGAGGGAGCGGCGGACGGGUUAGUAACGCGUGGGAACGUACCCAGAUCUAAGGAAUAGCCACUGGAAACGGUGAGUAAUACCUUAUACGCCCUUCGGGGGAAAGAUUUAUCGGAUUUGGAUCGGCCCGCGUUAGAUUAGAUAGUUGGUGGGGUAACGGCCUACCAAGUCUACGAUCUAUAGCUGGUUUUAGAGGAUGAUCAGCAACACUGGGACUGAGACACGGCCCAGACUCCUACGGGAGGCAGCAGUGGGGAAUCUUGGACAAUGGGCGCAAGCCUGAUCCAGCCAUGCCGCGUGAGUGAUGAAGGCCUUAGGGUCGUAAAGCUCUUUCGCCUGUGAAGAUAAUGACGGUAGCAGGUAAAGAAACCCCGGCUAACUCCGUGCCAGCAGCCGCGGUAAUAAGGGCGAAU